rnacentral:rRNA from 1 species
GACGAACGCUGGCGGCGUGCUUAACACAUGCAAGUCGAACGGAAAGGCCCUGCUUUUGUGGGGUGCUCGAGUGGCGAACGGGUGAGUAACACGUGAGUAACCUGCCCUUGACUUUGGGAUAACUUCAGGAAACUGGGGCUAAUACCGGAUAGGAGCUCCUGCUGCAUGGUGGGGGUUGGAAAGUUUCGGCGGUUGGGGAUGGACUCGCGGCUUAUCAGCUUGUUGGUGGGGUAGUGGCUUACCAAGGCUUUGACGGGUAGCCGGCCUGAGAGGGUGACCGGCCACAUUGGGACUGAGAUACGGCCCAGACUCCUACAGGAGGCAGCAGUGGGGAAUAUUGCACAAUGGGCGGAAGCCGGAUGCAGCAACGCCGCGUGCGGGAUGACGGCCUUCGGGUUGUAAACCGCUUUCGCCUGUGACGAAGCGUGAGUGACGGUAAUGGGUAAAGAAGCACCGGCUAACUACGU